rnacentral:lncRNA from 1 species
ACAAACCAAAACAAAGGUGCGGUCAGAAUAGAAAAAAAGAGGAGGGGGAAAUGGGAAAACAAAGUGGGGCAGAAGGGACCGAAGGAGAAGGGUGUGUCAGUACAAUCAGUCUUAACUUUUAAGAGAGAAAAAUGUAAACAAAUGUGUCAGUACAAUCAGUUUUAACUUUUAAGAGAGAAAAAUAUAAAACAAGGGUCAGCAUUGCCAAACGACACCGUUUGGUAUAGGGAAUAUCAAACACACCUUCAUCUUCUUCGCAAGUUCCGUCCGUAUGCAACUACAUUUUUUUUUCAGAUUUCCUUCUCCAAAAUCUAAUAAAAAAGAGGAAAAAAACAAAUCCAUCUUUGCUGUGCAGCAACAGAAACCAAAUCACCGGAGCGGAAAUUCUCAUUUUC